rnacentral:rRNA from 1 species
AUUGAACGCUGGCGGCAUGCCUUACACAUGCAAGUCGAACGGCAGCGCGGGGCAACCUGGCGGCGAGUGGCGAACGGGUGAGUAACAUAUCGGAACAUACCCUAGAGUGGGGGAUAACGUAGCGAAAGUUACGCUAAUACCGCAUACGCACUAAGGUGGAAAGUGGGGGAUUCGCAAGAACCUCAUGCUCAUGGAGUGGCCGAUAUCUGAUUAGCUAGUUGGUGAGGUAAAGGCUCACCAAGGCGACGAUCAGUAGCUGGUUUGAGAGAACGACCAGCCACACUGGAACUGAGACACGGUCCAGACUCCUACGGGAGGCAGCAGUGGGGAAUUUUGGGACAAUGGACGCAAGUCUGAUCCAGCCAUUCCGCGUCGUGUGAAGAAGGUCUUCGGAUUGUAAAGCACUUUAAGUUGGGAGGAAGGGUAGUAACCUAAUACGUUGCUACUUUGACGUUACCGACAGAAUAAGCAACCGGCU